GAACGCGCUAGGUACCUGGACGGCGGGGGCGGACGAGGAGGGGUUGGGGGACGCCGACCGCUCGGGGUCGGCAUCGUUUAUGGUCAGAACUACCACGGUAUCUGAUCGUCUUCGAACCUCCGACUUUCAUUCUUGAUUAAUGAAAACAUUCUUGGCAACGCGGUCCUAUUCCAUUAUUCCUAGCUGCGGUAUCCAGGCGGCUUGGACCUGCUUUGAACACUCUAAUUUUUUCAAAGUAAACGCUUUGGGCCGCGGAACACUCAGCUAAGAGCAUCGAGGGGGCGCCAAGAGGCAAGGGCUUUUUAACUGCAGCAACUUUAAUAUACGCUAUUGGAGCUGGAAUUACCGCGGCUGCUGGCACUAAACUUGCCCUCCAAUGGAUCUUCGUUAAAGGAUUUAAAGUGGACUCAUUCCAAUUACAGGACCUCGAAAGAGUCCUGUAUUGUUAU
rnacentral:lncRNA from 10 species